rnacentral:rRNA from 1 species
GACCAGACUCCUACGGGAGGCAGCAGUGGGGGAUAUUGGACAAUGGGGGAAACCCUGAUCCAGCGACACCGCGUGAGUGAAGAAGUAUUUCGGUAUGUAAAGCUCUAUCAGCAGGGAAGAUAAUGACGGUACCUGAGUAAGAAGCCCCGGCUAACUACGUGCCAGCAGCCGCGGUAAUACGUAGGGGGCAAGCGUUAUCCGGAUUUACUGGGUGUAAAGGGAGCGUAGACGGCAUGGCAAGUCUGAAGUGAAAGCCCGGGGCUCAACCGCGGGACUGCUUUGGAAACUGUUAAGCUGGAGUGCAGGAGAGGUAAGUGGAAUUCCUAGUGUAGCGGUGAAAUGCGUAGAUAUUAGGAGGAACACCAGUGGCGAAGGCGGCUUACUGGACUGUAACUGACGUUGAGGCUCGAAAGCGUGGGGAGCAAACAGGAUUAGAUACCCUUGUA